rnacentral:misc_RNA from 1 species
GAUGAAGAACGUAGCGAAAUGCGAUACGUAAUGUGAAUUGCAAAUUCAGUGAAUCAUCGAGUCUUUGAACGCACAUUGCGCCCCCUGGUAUUCCGGGGGGCAUGCCUGUCCGAGCGUCAUUGCUGCCCUCAAGCACGGCUUGUGUGUUGGGCCCCGUCCUCCGAUCCCGGGGGACGGGCCCGAAAGGCAGCGGCGGUACCGCGUCCGGUCCUCGAGCGUACGGGGCUUUGUCACCCGCUCUGUAGGCCCGGCCGGCGCUUGCCGAUCAACCCAAAUUUUUUAUCCAGGUUGACCUCGGAUCAGGUAGGGAUACCCGCUGAACUUAAGCAUAUCAAUAAGCGGAGGA